rnacentral:rRNA from 1 species
UACGGAGGGUGCGAGCGUUGUCCGGAAUCACUGGGCGUAAAGGGCGCGUAGGCGGCGCGGAUAGUCGGCGGUGAAAGCCCGGAGCUCAACUCCGGGUCGGCCGUCGAUACUUCCGGGCUUGAGCACUGUAGAGGCAGAUGGAAUUCCGGGUGUAGCGGUGGAAUGCGUAGAUAUCGGGAGGAACACCUGUGGCGAAAGCGGCGCACUGGACCACAACUGACGCUGAGGCGCGAAAGCUAGGGGAGCAAACAGG